UGCUCCUGGAUUCAGCGGCGGACGGGUGAGUAAUGCCUAGGAAUCUGCCUGGUAGUGGGGGAUAACGUCCGGAAACGGGCGCUAAUACCGCAUACGUCCUGAGGGAGAAAGUGGGGGAUCUUCGGACCUCACGCUAUCAGAUGAGCCUAGGUCGGAUUAGCUAGUUGGUGGGGUAAAGGCCUACCAAGGCGACGAUCCGUAACUGGUCUGAGAGGAUGAUCAGUCACACUGGAACUGAGACACGGUCCAGACUCCUACGGGAGGCAGCAGUGGGGAAUAUUGGACAAUGGGCGAAAGCCUGAUCCAGCCAUGCCGCGUGUGUGAAGAAGGUCUUCGGAUUGUAAAGCACUUUAAGUUGGGAGGAAGGGCAGUAAGUUAAUACCUUGCUGUUUUGACGUUACCAACAGAAUAAGCACCGGCUAACUUCGUGCCAGCAGCCGCGGUAAUACGAAGGGUGCAAGCGUUAAUCGGAAUUACUGGGCGUAAAGCGCGCGUAGGUGGUUCAGCAAGUUGGAUGUGAAAUCCCCGGGCUCAACCUGGGAACUGCAUCCAAAACUACUGAGCUAGAGUACGGUAGAGGGUGGUGGAAUUUCCUGUGUAGCGGUGAAAUGCGUAGAUAUAGGAAGGAACACCAGUGGCGAAGGCGACCACCUGGACUGAUACUGACACUGAGGUGCGAAAGCGUGGGGAGCAAACAGG
rnacentral:rRNA from 1 species